rnacentral:rRNA from 1 species
UCAAAACCCAUUAAACCUAAUGAGUACAUCUAUAAAUUUAUAGCCAAAUUAAUGUUAGAAUUAGUAAUAAGAAGCCACAAUCUUCUCUAUAGCAUACAUGUAAAUCAGCCCGAACUAAUCACUGAUGAUUAACGACUAAACAAUUUAACAUAGACAAUAGUACUAGACAUACAACUUCCUCUACACCGUUAACCCAACACAGGAAUGCUAUUAAGAAAGACAUAAUAGUAAAGAAGGAACUCGGCAAUCAUACGCUUCGCCUGUUUACCAAAAACAUCACCUCUAGCAAACAUAACACGUAUUAGAGCACUGCCUGNCCAGUGAUUUAAUUCAACGGCCGCGGUAUUCUGACCGUGCAAAGGUAGCAUAAUCACUUGUCUUUUAAAUAAAGACUAGUAUGAAUGGCACCACGAAAGCUUAACUGUCUCCUUUACUUAGUCAAUGAAAUUGAUCUCCACGUACAAAAGCGUGAAUAACACAAUAAGACGAGAAGACCCUAUGGAACUUAAAACACGCAACCACCUUAACCACCACAAUAGUAAUAUAACUUCUGGACCUCGCUGUUUUUGGUUGGGGCGACCACGGAGAAAAACAUAACCUCCGAGAAUAUAUACCAAGAUUGACAAAAUAAGGUACUAAAACUUGAACAUAAGACCCAAUAAAUUUGAUCAUCGAACCAAGCUACCCUAGGGAUAACAGCGCAAUCUUCUUCACGAGCCCUUAUCACCAAGAAGGUUUACGACCUCGAUGUUGGAUCAGGAUACCCAGACAGU